rnacentral:pre_miRNA from 1 species
AUGGAGAAUCUGUAAAGCUCAGGAGGGAUAGCGCCAUGAUAAUAUUCUUUUUUAAUUAAUUAAUUAAUUCCUUGAUCAAUUAGCGGCGCUGGCGCUAUCUAUCCUGAGUUUUCCGGAUUCUUCUU